rnacentral:rRNA from 1 species
AUUGAACGCUGGCGGCAUGCCUUACACAUGCAAGUCGAACGGCAGCAUGAUCUAGCUUGCUCGAUUGAUGGCGAGUGGCGCACGGGUGAGUAAUACAUCGGAACGUGCCCUGUAGUGGGGGAUAACUAGUCGAAAGAUUAGCUAAUACCGCAUACGACCUGAGGGUGAAAGUGGGGGACCGCAAGGCCUCAUGCUAUAGGAGCGGCCGAUGUCUGAUUAGCUAGUUGGUGAGGUAAAGGCUCACCAAGGCGACGAUCAGUAGCUGGUCUGAGAGGACGAUCAGCCACACUGGGACUGAGACACGGCCCAGACUCCUACGGGAGGCAGCAGUGGGGAAUUUUGGACAAUGGGCGAAAGCCUGAUCUAGCAAUGCCGCGUGUGUGAAGAAGGCCUUCGGGUUGUAAAGCACUUUUGUCCGGAAAGAAAUGGCUCUGGUUAAUACCUGGGGUCGAUGACGGUACCGGAAGAAUAAGGACCGGCUAACUACGUG